GAGUAACACGUGAGUAACCUGCCCCUGACUCUGGAAUAACCGUGGGAAACGACGGCUAAAACCGGAUAUGAGACGUCCACGCAGGUGGAGCGUCUGGAAAGAUUUAUCGGUCUGGGAUGGACUCGCGGCCUAUCAUCUUGUUGGUGGGGUAAUGGCCUACCAAGGCGACCACUGGUAGCCGGCCUGAGAGGGCGACCGGCCACACUGGGACUGAGAUACGGCCCAGACUCCUACGGGAGGCAGCAGUGGGGAAUAUUGCACAAUGGGCGCAAGCCUGAUGCAGCGACGCCCCGUGGGGGAUGAAGGCCUUCGGGUUGUAAACCCCUUUCACCAGGGAAGAAGCGAAAGUGACGGUACCUGCAAAAGAAGCGCCGGCUAACUACGUGCCAGCAGCCGCGGUAAUACGUAGGGCGCAGCGUUGUCCGGAAUUAUUGGGCGUAAAGAGCUCGUAGGCGGUUUGUCGCGUCUGCUGUGAAAUCCCGAGGCUCAACCUCGGGCUUGCAGUGGGUACGGGCAGACUAGAGUGCGGUAGGGGUGACUGGAAUUCCUGGUGUAGCGGUGGAAUGCGCAGAUAUCAGGAGGAACACCGAUGGCGAAGGCAGGUCACUGGGCCGCAACUGACGCUGAGGAGCGAAAGCAUGGGGAGCGAACAGGAUUAGAUACCCUGGUAGUCCAUGCCGUAAACGUUGGGCACUAGGUGUGGGGCUCAUUCCACGAGUUCCGUGCCGCAGCAAACGCAUUAAGUGCCCCGCCUGGGGAGUACGGCCGCAAGGCUAAAACUCAAAGGAAUUGACGGGGGCCCGCACAAGCGGCGGAGCAUGCGGAUUAAUUCGAUGCAACGCGAAGAACCUUACCAAGGCUUGACAUACACCGGAAAAGUGCAGAGAUGUGCUCCCCGCAAGGUCGGUGUACAGGUGGUGCAUGGUGGUCGUCAGCUCGUGUCCUGAGAUGUUGGGUUAAGUCCCGCAACGAGCGCAACCCUCGUCCUAUGUUGCCAGCACGUUAUGGUGGGGACUCAUAGGAGACUGCCGGGGUCAACUCGGAGGAAGGUGGGGAUGACGUCAAAUCAUCAUGCCCCUUAUGUCUUGGGCUUCACGCAUGCUACAAUGGCCGGUACAAAGGGCUGCGAUACCGCAAGGUGGAGCGAAUCCCAAAAAGCCGGUCUCAGUUCGGAUUGGGGUCCGCAACUCGACCCCAUGAAGUCGGAGUCGCUAGUAAUCGCAGAUCAGCAACGCUGCGGUGAAUACGUUCCCGGGCCUUGUAC
rnacentral:rRNA from 1 species